UCGUCUGAACCAGUCCACACCGCUGGGAAGAAGCACCUUCGUCUGCCAAGGUAUGCCAAACAUUCCGGUCUCGCUCCGCGUACCCACGCUCGCAACACCUGAUUCCGUCAACCGAAAUGCCUUCCAUCCGUGAAUCAAUUCCCACCAAAUCACGUUAAUCAGUUAAUGCUGCUAGCUAAUUCCUCUGUUUCUUCCGGAUUUUCCUCGCACCCUCGCGCGCGCGGGGUGUCCUUAUUUUCGAUCCUCCCCUUGCGCUCCCUCCAGAGUUUCCAUCGGCUCGGCACCACACCCGUACGUGGAGGCCUCCCCGGCCGUCCACUUCAACACACACCCCAGCGACACCACUCCUCUAAAUUAAACGACGUUCCUCCAAAAGCCUAAGGAAUUAGUGGAGAUGAUGGAGUUCAAUCCCACGAUGCUGCUGUGCACAUCCCAUUCCCUUUUCAUUUGAUUUAAUUAUUAUGGUUUCCGAAUCGAAUUAUAUCUAACUUAUUUCUAUGAUCAUUUUUCGCGAUUUGAAACUCGAUGUGCAACAAACAUAUUUCAGGUGUAGAAUUUUUUCGAGAAUACAUUUCAGGUGUAGAAUUAAAAAAGGCAGAUCCGUGGCGCCGCCGCAGUCACGUUCAUCCUGGGUCCUGCUGCAUGCGGAGGUCGGGAAGAACACGUCAGCUGUACGUGGGGACGCUGCCGUCGCAGACUACAAGCAAGCCUCCAGAAGGGCAAACUCUGGGGUCGCAUCAGGCGACGACUUCUGAGAGUUUUGUAGGACAUUUGAUUCGAGUGAACAUAUUUCAGUGAAGUUCUUUCUCAACCCAACGGAAUGCCCUUCUUUGUAAGGCCGCUAUGAAGAUGGAGCUUCAAAUCUGGAAGCAGUUACCUCAAUGCAAGUUUGUGUAUCUCAUUGCUAAUUUAUAUUGUUUUCUGUGUUGACAUCAUAUAAAUCUUGUCGCGUGCACCCUACUAAUUGAAUCUAUAAUACUUAUGUAGAAUGACUGUCAUUUGGAUUUACUUCCAAGCCGCAUGGGCUAUCUGUAUCUCCGCCGGAAAUCACUGGCUGGUGCAGUCCAAAAACACAUAAAUUUCGGAAGGUGUUGUAUGUAGUCCUCCUGCUUCUGUGGGUGAAACUUUAUCUCUGUGAUUGACGUAUGAGAUUGAUGUAUGAACAGAACAAUUUGUUCAAGCUGGAUGCCUAUAAAACCUGACUUCCGUGUCAGUGCUGACUACCUGUAGAUUUUCUAUCCUCCUUUUACAUGAACUGUUGUUUAGUAAUGUGCAUUAUAAUUAUAAAAAAAAGGUAGCUUGUAUCCAUGACCGUUUUCAGUAAUGUGCAUUAUAAUUAAAAAAAGGUAGCUUGUAUCUCGACUGACAUUUGAAUUAUUUUGAUAGUAACAGAUACAAUUAGUGUAUUUGUAGAGCUUUGCAUGCAGGUGGUUGAAUCACUACAAGAAUGAAACAAGAUUUAUAUUUGUACAUAUGAUAUCAUUGGGAUGAGGGUGUAUAGUAGAAAAACUUACAUUAAUUAUCUAAUGCUUGGAUGCUGAGUAUAAUUCUUCAUAAAGGACGUCUUGAAUUGUUGUUCUCGCUCUUGUUUGACCCAGCAAAAUGUUUCCCUACAUGUUUCCAUUUCAUAACUUUACAUCAGACAUUUGAUGUCGCAGUAGGUUGAAUCUUAUUUCAGGUAAACAGGUUGGCUCAGUUAUAUUCAACAAUGACCAAUUGCUCAUGCACUCAUUAUAGAGGAAGAAAAAGGUGUUGCAUACUUCAAGGGAGACGGAAAGUGCUGCCCAAGGGGAUAGCAAAAUUUCUUGCUUAGUGUCUGUAAUUUCCUUACGAUAUAUUUUUCAUGCAUUAUUCACUUCGGAGUAGAUGUUACCUGUGAGUCAAAUUUGAAGUUACUCUACAAUUCAUAACAUGGUUGGGCAUUGCUACCCAAUGUUC